GUGGCUGUAGCUCAGCUGGUAGAGCUCCUGGUUGUGGUCCAGGCGGUCGCGGGUUCGAGUCCCGUCAGCCACCCCA
rnacentral:tRNA from 1 species